UACGGAGGGGGCUAGCGUUGUUCGGAAUUACUGGGCGUAAAGCGCACGUAGGCGGCUUUGCAAGUUAGAGGUGAAAGCCCGGGGCUCAACUCCGGAAUUGCCUUCAAAACUGCAUCGCUAGAAUUGUGGAGAGGUAAGUGGAAUUCCGAGUGUAGAGGUGAAAUUCGUAGAUAUUCGGAAGAACACCAGUGGCGAAGGCGACUUACUGGACACAUAUUGACGCUGAGGUGCGAAAGCGUGGGGAGCAAACCGG
rnacentral:rRNA from 1 species